UGGGGAAUUUUGGACAAUGGGCGAAAGCCUGAUCCAGCAAUGCCGCGUGUGUGAAGAAGGCCUUCGGGUUGUAAAGCACUUUUGUCCGGAAAGAAAUCCUUGGCUCUAAUACAGUCGGGGGAUGACGGUACCGGAAGAAUAAGCACCGGCUAACUACGUGCCAGCAGCCGCGGUAAUACGUAGGGUGCAAGCGUUAAUCGGAAUUACUGGGCGUAAAGCGUGCGCAGGCGGUUUGCUAAGACCGAUGUGAAAUCCCCGGGCUCAACCUGGGAACUGCAUUGGUGACUGGCAGGCUAGAGUAUGGCAGAGGGGGGUAGAAUUCCACGUGUAGCAGUGAAAUGCGUAGAGAUGUGGAGGAAUACCGAUGGCGAAGGCAGCCCCCUGGGCCAAUACUGACGCUCAUGCACGAAAGCGUGGGGGAGCAAACAGGAUUAGAUACCCUGGUAGUCCACGCCCUAAACGAUGUCAACUAGUUGUUGGGGAUUCAUUUCCUAGUAACGUAGCUAACGCGUGAAGUUGACCGCCUGGGGAGUACGGUCGCAAGAUUAAAACUCAAAUGAAUUGACGGGGUCAUAGCUGUUUCCU
rnacentral:rRNA from 1 species